rnacentral:lncRNA from 1 species
CUUGCUUCUAACAAAUAGACCUGAGGAAGUGGUUUUGAGUAAAUUCUGAGGCUAGGUCAAAAAAGGCUUCUGCUUGGUCCUCUUGGGACACUUCUUCUUGGAACCCAGUGGUCAAGUUGUGAGGAAGCCCAGGGCACAGAGAAACCAUCUUAUGUCCUAGCCCACAGGCAGCACCAGCUACCAGAUGCUGUGAGCUAGAAAGUGAGGGGACUCUGCCUUGGAUUUGGUUAGACUGCCGUGGUGUGACAACAGGAGAUCCCACAGGAGAACGACUCUGACAAGCCAUCCUUCUUCCCCUUGCUGUUUGAGACAAUAAAUGAUUGUUUUAGCUACUAAAGUUAGGGUAGGGUGCUUUGCAGCCAAUCGUCUAUAACAAAGUACCAGAGACCUGGUGCCUUAAACAAUGAACAUUUAUUUCUAGUUCUGAAGGCUGGGAAGUUCAAGAUGAAAACUUUGACAGAUUCAAUGUGUCUUCUCUCUCUCUCUCUCUCUCUCUCUCUCUCUCUCUCUCUCACACACACACACACACACACACUCCUGUGGAUUGGACCCCCCAGGGACCCUCUACCACUGAGCUAACUCCCCAGCCCCUCCUGCUUUUUACCCCAGUGGCUUGGACAGAGGUUUAUUUAGGGAAAAUGUGGGCCAUCUCCAGUGUGAGAGUCACCUGCGGAGUGGGUGUUAGCACUGACAGAGGCCAGGGCUAGGGCUGAACUAGAGAUGGAGCCAGGGAAGCUGCACAAUUUCACACGGAUUACACAAGGCCUUCACGUUCAAGGGCGUAGGUCAAGGGCACUGACCAAGAGCAGUCACU